UUUGUAAUAUGUCGAAUUGUCUAAUAAUGAAUAAUUGGGAUGCAUUUGGAGUUUUGGGUGCAUAUGGUAUAUUUGAUUACAAAUAUGCAAUCUUUUAGUAUGUCAAAAAUUGGUAUGCAAUGUAUUCUCUCGAUUUUUGAUGAUGCAAUGGUUCAUGGCCGGCUAAAGUCUAUGCCUUUGUUUCAUUUCUACUAGUUUAUUAGUUGUCCUUUUCAUUUGGGUAACAUAUGCCCUGUACCUGUUUUCUUUUCACUAGGUAACAUAUCACUAUAUGGAGGCAUGAACGUUAGCACUAGUUAUGUUCACCAAAAGAUGGAUUCUUUUGGUUUUGGUUUUCUGUCGUUUUUUUCUUUUUGUUCUGUUAAUUGAUGAAAAGGCUACCUAUGACUCUUUCUAUCUAUUUCAGAACUUGGUUUUAAUUAACUGGUUUGGUGAUCAUUGCUUUUGAUCAGAGUAGAUAAAGCUAGUGGAUGCUGAAACCAGUUGUUCAUAGUUGAGAUUGGUUGGUUUAUUACCUGAACUUGCGUCCAAGUCUUACGGCCCUAGUUCUCGCACUUGGUAAACAGUAGCUCCAGUGAAACGAAGCUGAAAGAACAUGGAUAAAGAAUGGGCUUAUUGUAAAAGCAGCAAUCCUAGAGCCUUUUAUGACGGAGCAAAAAAGUUUGUUAAUAGCAUUCAUGCAAGUAAGGGGUAUCCUGAAAAGAUCCAGUGCCCAUGUAGUAGUUGUAUAAACGUAUGGUCUUACCCACCUCGUACUGUAUUAGAUCAUCUAACCUCAAAUGGGAUAUAUGAGAGUUAUAUUAAUUGGACCUUUCAUGGAGAUGAGCCAAGAACUACUGUACAAGAAGAAAACAUGGAAAGCUUUGAAAACUUGGAGACAUAUAAAAUGUAUAGAGAUGCACAGCUAAAUGAUGAUUUUAUGGAACCUGCACCUGAAAAUAUAGAGUCUGAUGUUACAAAUUUAGUAAAUGAAGCAGAACUUCCUCUAUAUAAGGGUUGUCCUUCUACAAAAA